rfam:Salmo salar isolate Sally breed double haploid chromosome ssa08, whole genome shotgun sequence.
UGCAAUCACUAAUGUAAAUUGCUCUGGAUAAGAGCGUCUGCUAAAUGACUAAAA